GGUCGUGUAGCUAAAUGGUAACAGCGCAGUAAAGUUUACACUGAGAUCCCGGUUCGACUCUGGGCACGACCA